GGAGCAUGGAUCACUAUUAAGGAAAUCCCCAUGAUUGAGCUUUCAUUUUGAUUUUAAUUUCAGCAUUUUGGAUCACUACAUUGCUAAGAAUGAGAAGAAUGCCCCAAAAAUAUGAACAUCGAGCACACUGUUACUAAACAUUACUAUUACAUUAUUAUAACUAGUGUAACUUUCAUUUCUGCAGAUUUUAAAUUGUGGAGUUCUGAUGGCAUUAAAUGUCCAUUCUUAGUUGUGUCUGAUUUCUAUCAAGUUUCUCCUAUUCAGGACACAUGCUAGAUCUAAACUCUUCCAUUGAUGUUGCAGGAAGAUGUAGAUAUCAUGAAAAAUUUGAACUUCAAUGCAUACCGGUUUUCGAUUUCAGGGUCCAGGAUUUUCCCUGAUGGAGCUGGAAAAGUGAAUUGGAACGGAGUUGAAUGCUAUAAUAGGUUGAUCGACUACAUGAUCGAAAGAGGCAUUACUCCAUAUGCAAAUCUUUAUCACUAUGAUCUUAAGCAUU